UUUCCAUGCAACUGGCUCAUAAUGGCUCUGCAACGUGCCUCUUCUGAGCAGCUUUACAGAACUGGUCUUUGUCAGUCGUGACUUCCUCAGUACACAACAGAGGCUACAGACAACCAAUUGAUACCCACACUCUCAGAGCAACCACUUCGUUCUAUGAAAUUGUCCUAGAAGAAUUUGGAUGGGGGGAGGAUCAAAAGACUGUGACCACAAUGUCAAGAGGAGCAGGUGGAUCUGUGUAUCUACCAACCAGAACAUCCAAGGGAAAGGGCAAAGCAUGAUGAUUGUUGUACCCCAGCAGCCCUUCAUAUGGAAACAGAGGCUACAAGCAGGCAGGAGACAAAUAAGCUACCAGCAGCAAUUUCUGGUCCUGAUUUCAUCAGAAUUCUCUAUCUUCCCUGUCAGCAAGCUAUCAUAAGAAUGUAAGAAGAGCCUGCUGGAUCAGGUCAAUGGCCCAUCUAGUCCAGCAUCCUGUUCUCACAGUGGCCAACCAGAUGCCUAUGGAAAGCCCGCAAACAAGAGCACUCCUCCCUGCUGUGGUUUCCAGCAACUCAUCUUGGAAGCACACUGUUUCUGACCAUGGCGACAGAGCAUAGCCAUCAUGGCUAGGCAAACACAUUGAUCACAAGCCCCAUGCCAGAGCAAAUAAUGAUGCUGGUGCAUGCAGGCCUAGCAUCAGCACUUGGGAUAUUGGGGCAUUUGCUUGGACCCACACACCCCACCAGGGCUGAUGUGUUGACUGCUCCCAGUACUCACUGCCUGCAGUGGCAGCUCUGCUGCAGCCGCCAGCCUCCCCUUCAUGCACUUGCUUGCAGACCUACCCAGAGGCAGUGCUAGGUUAGAAGCCAGGCAGCUACCUGAGUCUUGGCCCACUGUAAUACUACCACUGGUGGAGAAGUGUACAGGCAAACAAAAGGGUGAGGCUAGCAGCUGCCCUACCUCCUCUCACUUGCUUGAGAGUAGCUUUACCCAGCAGCAGCAGUGCUGUAAUGUUCUGGGAGUCAGGUAGAUGUUCAAUUCCCAGCCCAUCACAGAAGUGUUGCCACCACUAGGUUUUAUUUAUUAUUUAUUUAUUAUUUAAUUUGUAUCCCACCCUUCCUCCCAGCAGGAGCCCAGGGCGGCAAACAAAGCACUAAAAACACUUUAAAACAUCAUAAAAACAGAUCUUAAAAGACAUUAAAACAAAACAGUGUUCAAACCAUUUUUUUUAAAUCAACUUUAAAAAAGGGUUAAAAACAUUAUUAAAAAACAUAUUAAGCAAUUCUAACACAGACGCAGACUGGGAUAGGUCUCAACUUAAAAGGCUUGUUGAAAGAGGAAAGUCUUCAAAAGGCACUGAAAAGAUAGCAGAGAUGGCACCUGCCUAAUAUUUAAAGGGAGGGAAUUCCACAGGGUAGGUCUCGCCACACUAAAGGUCUGUUUCCUAUGUUGUGCAGAACGGACCUCCUGAUAAGAUGGUAUCUGCAGGAGGCCCCCACUUGCAGAGCGCAGUGAUCAACUGGGCAUAUAAGGGGUAAGACAGUCUUUCAGGUAUCCUGGUCCCAAGCUGUAUAGGGCUUUGUACACCAAAACUAGAACCUAAACUUGGCCCAGUAGUAAAUGGGCAGCCAGUGCAAUUCUUUCAGCAGCAGGGUGACAUGUUGGCAAUACCCUGCCCCAGUGAGCAGUCUCAUCGCUGCAUUUUGCACCAGCUGCAGCUUCCAAACCAACCUCAAGGGCAGCCCCUCAUAGAGCGCAUUCCAGCAAUCCAGCCUGAAGGUUACCAGUGCGUGGACACCAGUGGUCAGGCUAUCCCAGUCCAGAAACUGCCGCAGUUGUCUUAUCUGCCGAAGCUGGUAAAAGGCACUCCUAGCCACGGAGGUCACCUGGGCCUCUAGUGACAAAGAUGGAUCCAGGAGCACCCCCAGGCUACGGACCUGCUCUUUCAGAGGGCGUACGACCGCAGGUUAGCUCACAAGAUGGUGAGACUGGCAGCAUCGCAGUGCCACUGCCAGGUGGGGGCAAACGGUGGUAGACACUGAGAAUAUGGUCAGCAUUGGGGUUGCCCUCCAAAGAUGGCUUUCCUGGACCUGACCAUCCCCAUAGGAACUGGGCCUGCCAUGCACAGAUGGAAAGACAGCACAGGGUAGACACAAAGUGCAAAUAUAUCACAGCUUUAUGCGUGUAUAUGCAGCACAGAUUGAUACAGAGUCUUGAGUAGGUGUACAAUUAAUUUUUAAAAUGUUGCUGUUAUAAUAAUAAUAAUAAUAAAUUUUAUUUGUUGGUCGCCUAUCUGUCCAGAUUAGUGGACACUCUAGGCGACUUGCAAUAAUAAAAAGCAGUACAUGAUAUACAAUAUAAUAUACAAACAAAACACAAUCAAAUCAAUUUAAAACCAAUUUCCAGUUAAUGUUAUGUUGUUGUGAUGUUACUAGCUGCCCGUAGGAUAUGAAUAGCCAUCACAUCUGCAAGCAAUGGUAGUCACCACAACUGGUGCAUAAGACCAGACUGCAGAUUUCACUAGGAAUAGGGAGAUCUAGGUAAAAAUCCCCAUUCAGCCACAAAGCUUACUGUGUGAUCUUGAGUCUCUCUCUCUCUCUUUCAUCCCAACCAACCUCAGAGUUUUGUUGUGAGGAUAAAUGGGAGGGUAGAAUUAUAUAUGCUCCCCUGAGCUCCUUCGGGAAAGAUGGGAUAUAAAUGCAAUAUAUAACCCUAACAUUGAUGAAAGAAUGAAAGAAAGAAUGAAUGAAUGAACCUGCUGUGCUGUGCUCCCAAUUAGAAGCAAUUUGUAACUUGUGUUCAGAAAGAUUACCUAGAGGACUGACAUGUUUCACAAUAAGCCAAACUGAGAAGAUUGCAGUCCUAUACUCACUCACUUGAGUCCCAUUGAACUCAGUGGGACUUAUGUAUGUGCAGACAUGCAUAAGAUUACACUGAAGUGUUUUCACAUCACUUUAUGUGUGGAGUUUGGUUUUGGUUUUCCUUUACUUUUUUUUCUUUUUGUAAUGUGAAUUUUGUCAAAGGCUCUGCUAACUUUCAUAGCUCAGCCACAAACCCAGGUGCCAUCUAUUCUGGCUUAUGCAACCAACAGUGAAACAUAAAUCUUUAAACAAUUGCUGAAGUGUUGGGGUUACCUUGACUCCACAUCAGUUAAACUAAUUGCUUGUUAGAAGACAUAUCACCACUGCUGUUGCUGCUA